rnacentral:rRNA from 1 species
UACGUAGGGUGCGAGCGUUGUCCGGAAUUAUUGGGCGUAAAGAGCUCGUAGGCGGUGUGUCACGUCGGCCGUGAAAACCUGCAGCUUAACUGUGGGCGUGCGGUCGAUACGGGCAUCACUGGAGUUCGGCAGGGGAGACUGGAAUUCCUGGUGUAGCGGUGAAAUGCGCAGAUAUCAGGAGGAACACCGGUGGCGAAGGCGGCAUUCUGGACUGCAACUGACACUGAGGAACGAAAGCCAGGGGAGCAAACGGG